UUGCACUGAUCCUGAGGAAUUUGGGAGCUGGAUGGACUAUCUCUUAAUGUAGAUUAAAAGAUGUUUUAGUCUCACAGAUAGGGAAAAAUCAUCCUGCAAGUUAGAUACAUAAGGCUCUGAAAUGGACUUUGUGGGCAAAUGGAUCAAGAAAAUUGAGCUUCAGCCUUUUGCCAUGAGUCAUGUUCAGAAGCACAGGAAGUUCAGGAAUCCCUUUGAAAUAUACUAGUGAACAAAUUGUUUCAUUGUUACAUUUUUAAUAAUAACUUCCUCAUUUUUUGUGUGUGUGAGUUUUAUCCCAGCAGGUGAAGAAGGCAAAAAUGAUAUGCAAUCUCUGGACAAGAGGCAGCUUCAACACUCUUCACAACUUGUAGCGUGCCUUAUGUUUGUUAUAUCAUCUAGCAGUGGAGUUUAUUUUGGAGAAUGAUCAAUAGCAUGGAAAAUCUUAAAAUAUUUUAAUUAUUGUAUGUUAUGUCUCAGUGGACCCAUCCAGUUUGUCUCAGGUGGAAGUAGAUUCCUACUCUGAUAGUCCUUCCACACUACAGAAAAGCUCCAGGCUUUUUCAGUUAGUGUGUGGAAACUUCAGCUGCUUCCCCUGCAAGACCAUAUACAGCUCCAAGAACAGGGCUGACUGUUAUUUUCAUUAGUUGUCAUGAACUAACAGAAGUCCUGCUGUUCAAACUUCUGCUCUCAGUGACAUGCCUCAUCAUUAUUUGGAUCUGAGCACAAGGGUCACUGUCAUUCUGUAAACCAUCCUCGAGAUGAGGCACAAAAAAUGGUAGUCUCCAGCUCACCGUAUUCCAGCUUUGAGGAAUCUGUAGGGUGAGCACAGACAAAAGCUGUUGACGAUUAAUCACUCUAGACUGUCACUCUGACACACCAAGGAAAGGUAUCAAAUAGAUCUGUUAUUACAUGCUCAUGCUCCAUGAACAUUUUCACUCUAAGAAAUGGUGAAGAAAAUCAUCACAGACGUGAGGAUUUUAACAAAUUCAAGAAUACUCUUUUAUUAAUGCUUUAUGUGCUUCUAUUCAUCAGGGGAAAUGCUUUUCAUGUUGUAGCUUGAAUUUUCCUUUUAUAUAAAUGAAAUGUUGGGAAAAUGGCUGUUUACUUCCACUGUGGUACAGCUGUGUAAUACACUACAGAGGGAGAGAAAAAAGACAAAAUUAUUGAAAAAUGUUAUUACACGGUGACAUUUGGGUAUGUAUUUCAGAUGUAACCUAGAUAAAUAGAUUAGGUGCAGAACUGCGAUACGGAUUAUAUUUAAUAGCAUAAAUAUUUAGGAGAUAAGUUGUCCCAUUGAAUCAAGUUGCAGGAUAAAGAGGCAAAGUGUUGGUACUAGCAGUGAUCUGCAUCUGACUCCUCAUAUCCAAAACUCCAGGAUGGGCUGACACCACAGCAUCAGCUAUUAAAAGUAACAGUACAUGGGAUGUUGUUCUCUGUGUUGCCAUACCAUUGAGUAGUGAGAUGAGGUCAGAUGGAUUCAACUGCCAACUAAAGUUGGACCUAGAUCUAAGCUGACUUUCAUUUUACCAAAGAAAUCACCACUUGGAGACAAUUAAAAAAUUCUGUCUUCAUACAGUGAACAACUGCACUGCCUGCAGUGGCAAUUCAGCAUAAAUGCAUUACCCAUCUAAAGCACCUGUAUUUCAUAUAAGAAACAUAUAUCAAGGGUAAAACAAUUUGAUUUUCUUCAAGAAAAGUAGGAUACCAAGAAGAGAAUUCAAAUACUGUUCUCUGAUCCACUCCAGUUUUCUUCAGACAUGCUGGAUGUACCUGCAAAGAACAAAAGCAGAGCUGAACUCAGUAACUACUCAGUGAUUAAACAUAGUCACUGGGCAGUAUAUGUAUGCUUCUUACCCAGUUGUCUGCACAAUUCAGGUGGUUGCCUUUGAGAUGCUAGGACUUGCCACUGAAAUUCCUGUAGAUCUGCCUGCAGUAACUGGAGAUUGGGUUAUCCGGUCCUGGACCUCCAGUGGACUACACUGCCUGCAUGGUGUAUGUUCAUUUUCUUCUGGGAUCCUUCUGGGGUGAGCCAUCUGGUCCCUUCUUAGAAGAAAGCAAGUCAUAUUGCUGAGAACCGUUCCUUUCUCACAGUUUUUACUCCUAGAUUUUUACUCUCUCUUUUACACCCAGAACUGAUGUCCAGCAACAGCCCCAGUGGACGUUCCCAUGAUCUACAUGAGACCUCUUACUGUGCUCCCAGCAGCAUACUGCAAUGUUGUCUAUGUUGUGCUUUA